GAGUUCAAGAACAAAAUGCAAAUUCUACGAACUUCCUGGUUCUUCCAGAGCAAAGCAGCAGACACAUUGAGAGGGCUCUGAGUAUUGGGUUCUGCUCAUUACAACGUGAGCAUAAGAAAAACUAUUACAUAAAUACAUACAAAAGAGCUCCUAAUAGUGAGACAAAAGAGCUCCUAAUAGCUCAUAAAUACAUACAAAAGAGCCAGCAGAAAGAGUGAGACAACGCCAUCUGACCUCCUAAUAGGCUCUGGAUGGACAAGAGAAUCGUUCUGCAAUCAUAUGCUGAACACCACUUAUCCUGCAACAACAAAAUUAAAGUCAUAAAAGUUGGGAUGAAGCAAAAGAAUCUGAAAUAUUUUGACAUGCAGAAAAGUAAAUGAGAAGGUGAGAAUGACAAUACAAGGCUAAUUACUUGAAGAAUGCCCAAACAAAUAUUCUCAAAUUGGUCGACAUUUGGAUGGAAGCAUCAAGCAUGUAGUCUCAAACGUGACUUGAGAAAGGAUAAUCUAGAUUAUAGUGGAAAGAGCAACCAAAGUUUGUAAGACGGACCGUCAUGGUUCCUUUGCCGCCUUAAAUUCUGUAAGUCCACGUAAAUAUGCUCCCCAUGUCAGGGAAGGCAGAUGCUCCCAGAUCUCCACCACUCAUCUAUGUUACUCCUAUAAAUCAGAGACACCAUUUAAAUACUGUAAAAAACAACUAACCGAGCACCACUAUGUCUUCUUGACAUUACAGAUUGUUAAACAUCAACUCAUGAAGAAAUGAGUGCAACACAUCAACUCCACUGCCUUACCUCAAGCAAGGCCAAUACUUUUUCAUUCCAAACGAUGCGCAACCGAAUAUAUUUGGGAUUAUAUUUGUUACAUAAAAAAUAAAGCACAGAUCAUCUAAACGGAGCAAUAAUAUCAAGAAAAAGCACAGAUCUAUUUCAAUUACGAAAUGAAAGAAAAUAAUAUUUAUACGAAACCGCGGAAAACCAAAACUAAUAUCAGAAAAGCACAGAUCAAAUCCAGUUACAAAAUGCAAAAAUAACAGAGUACCAUGUUUGUGAAUUUCAAUUCAUCCUAUUCCAUUAUAUUAUACUAUAAGCAUCCAUUAUAUUAUACUAUAAGCAGGGUAAUCCUUAGAUGGAAGUAUAUGUACUAUAUGUGUACUCACAUAAUGGAAAAAAUAAAUCAUUAACAUAAUUAAUCGAGGCUGCAACAGCAAUCUCCUUUUCUCUUUAAAUUUUAGUUCUUUUUAUGCGAUUCCACUAAACUAUCACCUUGAAUUUUGCAGUUUUUUCCCCACUAUAUAUAUUACUCCUCAUCACAGCCAGUGUUUGUCACUCACCUCCAACAAUAUAUAUGUCUCAGCGCUAAUACAAAAUCAAAAACACGAAACAACUUACACGAAUAAUGAUGAAAAUAUCAUAUUAAUCAACAAAAUCUGAAAGAACAAACCUAAAAAAUUGAGAGCCAAUUAACCAAAGAUGACCUGGAAAACAAAAAAAAAAUUUCGGAUGNUUUUUUAUGAAUCAAAUUUGACGAUAUUUAAAAAAGAAUUACUAAAAAAAGAGAAGAAAAAUAAUGAAAGAGAGAAGGAAAAAGGAUGGAAAAUAUGUAGGGAAACAACUCCUUUUUACUCCCUCCGUCCGCCAAAAGUAGACCACUUUGGUUGGGCACGAGAUUUAUAAAAUUGGUGAUGAUUUUGAUGUAGUGGAGAAAGGGUCCCACCACUUUAUGAGAUGUGUGGUUGAGAUUGAAUUUGAGGUGGGUUUUUUUUGUAAAUAAAGAGUGUUUGUAAGGAUAAAAGAUUAAAGUGGGUGGUGGGACCAUUUCCAUAAGAGGAAAGUGGUCUACUCUUUGCGGACGCUUAAUAUAGUAAAAGUGUCUACUUAUUACAUAGAUUAUUGCCCCUUGCCUAAUUUCCAAAUUAUCUACUCUAACAACAAAAUUAAUCCAAACUAUUAUCUUUAUUACGUUCUUUUGUAAAGAACAACUUGUCAUUCUUUUUUGCUUGCGCUAAUUUUUGCUCACAAAUUGAAAAUAUUGGACGCAGAAAAUCAAUUUGAAGAGAAUUAAAAUUAAAAAUUUUCAACACAAAAAGUGUUUAAAAACUCAAUAUAAUAAAAAUAUAAAGUAUAUAAUAAAAGUGCUACAAGAAAUUUUAGAUGAAGUUAUAAAGCUAGAAGCUACUUAACUUUUUAAACAAAUCCAAACAUGACCAGAUACCACAAACAUAAUCAUGGUUUGAUUACAUUUUGAUGAACAUAACACGGCUUAAUUUUUUCAGUGAAAGAAAUAACUAUCCAAGCCGAAUAUUUCCAUAGAUAGAUCAGAUGGUCUUUCUUCUUGAAGUUUAUUACUGCUCUUUUGAUUAGUUAUCUAAUGGAUAUCCAAUAUCCAUGUAAUAUUUGCGCACUGCUUUUCUGUACUCUGCAAUCAGAAUUUGUAAAAGCCACGUUUUCCAAUACCACGCACCAUUGGAUCGAGUUCAAGAAAAAAAUGCAAAUUCUACGAACUUCUUGGUUCUUCCAGAGCAAAGCAGUAGACACAUUGAGAGGGCUCUGAGUAUUGGGUUCUGCUCAUUACAACGCGAGCAUAAGAAAAACUAUUACAUAAAUACAUACAAAAGAGCUCCUAAUAGUGAGACAAAAGAGCUCCUAAUAGCUCAUAAAUACAUACAAAAGAGCCAGUAGAAAAAGUGAGACAACAACGCCAUCUGACCUCCUAAUAGGCUCUGGAUGGACAAGAGAAUCGUUCUGCAAUCAUAUGCUGAACACCACUUAUCCUGCAACAACAAAAUUCAAGUCAUAAAAGUUGGGAUGAAGCAAAAGAAUCUGAAAUAUUUUGACAUGGAUGCAGAAAAGCAAAUGAGAAGGUGAGAAUGACAAUACAAGGCUAAUUACUUGAAGAAUGCCCAAACAAAUAUUCCCAAAUUGGUCGACAUUUGAAUGGAAGCAUCAAGCAUGUAGUCUCAAACGUGACUUGAGAAAGGCUAAUCUAGAUUCUAGUGGAAAGCACAACCAAAGUUUGUAAGACGGACCGUCAUGGUUCAUUUGCCGCCUUAAAUUCUGCAAGUCCACGUAAAUAUGCUCCCCCUGUCAGGAAAGGCAGAUGCUCCCAGAUCUCCACCACUCAUCUAUGUUACUCCUAUAAAUCAGAGACACCAUUUAAAUACUGUAAAAAACAACUAACCGAGCACCACUAUGUCUUCUUGACAUUACAGAUUGUUAAACAUCAACUCAUGAAGAAAUGAGUGCAACACAUCAACUCCACUGCCUUACCUCAAGUAAGGCCAAUACUUUUUCAUUCCAAACGAUACGCAAUCGAAUAUAUUUGGGAUUAUAUUUGUUACAUAAAAUAUAAAGCACAGAUCUAAACGGUGCAAUAAUAUCAAGAAAAAGCACAGAUCUAAUUCAAUUACGAAAUGAAAGAAAAUAAUAUUUAUACGAAACCACGAAAAACCAAAACUAAUAUCAGAAAAACACAGAUCAAAUCCAAUUACAAAAUGCAAAAAUAACAGAGUACCAUGUUUGUGAAUUUCAAUUCAUCCUAUUCCAUUAUAUUAUACUAUAAGCAGGGUAAUCCUAUAAGCAUCAUUAUAUUCCAUUAUGUUAUUCCAUCAUAAUAUCUAUUCCAUUAUAUUCAUACUAUAAGUAUCCAUUAUAUUAUACUAUAAGCAGGGUAAUCCUUAGAUGGAAGUAUAUGUACUAUAUGCGUACUCACAUAAUGGAAAAAAUAAAUCAUUAACAUAAUUAAUCGAGGCUGCAACAGCAAUAUCCUUUUCUCUUUAAAUUUUAGUUCUUUUUAUGCGAUUCCACUCAACUAUCACCUCGAAUUUUGCAGUUUUUUCCCUACUAUAUAUAUAUCAGCCAGUGUUUGUCACUCACCUCCAACAAUAUAUAUUUCUCAGCACUAAUACAAAAUCAAAAACACGAAACAACUUACAUGAAUAAUGAUGAAAAUAUCAUAUUAAUCAACAAAAUCUGAAAGAACAAACCUCAAAAAUUGAGAGCCAAUUAACCAAAGAUGACCUGGAAAACAAAAAAAAGAAUUUCGGAUGGUAUGCGUGGAAACCAUUUCCCAAAAAUUUAUAGUUGAAAAGACAGGGUAUAAUUAACGAUUGAGAAGCUUAUGUUAGACUUUUUACCUUCAUUGGGGGCAUUAAUCAAUGAGAAUCAAGAGGUGAUUGAGGUAGAGUUCAUGGAAACGAUUAAGGAGAAUGGAGAAUCGAGAGGCAAAUGACAGAGAUCUUGUGAGAAGCCAGCCACCAUCAUAAUAGAAACAUUGAUUUGGAGAUGGUAAGGACCUGAUUAUUGAAUUCCAUUGAUUAUGGUGAAACGCUUUCCAUUGAUUGUGGUGAAACACAACUGAGAUUUGAGUGAGGGGAUUAUAAUGGAAAUGUUGAAGAAGAUAUUAAGGAAUUUUGAGGA
rnacentral:lncRNA from 1 species